rnacentral:rRNA from 1 species
AUGAACGCUAGCUACAGGCUUAACACAUGCAAGUCGAGGGGAAACGGCAUCGAAAGCUUGCUUUUGAUGGGCGUCGACCGGCGCACGGGUGAGUAACGCGUAUCCAACCUGCCCAUCACUUGGGAAUAACCUUGCGAAAGUAAGACUAGUGCCCAAUGACAUCCCACGAAGGCAUCCGAAUGGGAUUAAAGAUUUAUCGGUGAUGGAUGGGGAUGCGUCUGAUUAGCUUGUUGGCGGGGUGACGGCCCACCAAGGCAACGAUCAGUAGGGGUUCUGAGAGGAAGGUCCCCCACAUUGGAACUGAGACACGGUCCAAACUCCUACGGGAGGCAGCAGUGAGGAAUAUUGGUCAAUGGGCGAGAGCCUGAACCAGCCAAGUAGCGUGCAGGAUGACGGCCCUAUGGGUUGUAAACUGCUUUUAUAAGGGAAUAAAGUGGGUCACGUGUGACUUUUUGCAUGUACCUUAUGAAUAAGGACCGGCUAAUUCCGUG